rnacentral:rRNA from 1 species
UAGGUCGGGUGUGUAAGCGCAGCGAUGCGUUGAGCUAACCGAUACUAAUGAACCGUGAGGCUUAACCUUACAACGCCGAAG